rnacentral:antisense_RNA from 20 species
AUCAACGGGUGGGCCUGGGUGGGGAGACCUUCGGGUCUGCCGGUUGCCUCCAUUGCCGGUUCGCCAACCCCGCUCAGUGCCCGCCCACCCCA